rnacentral:rRNA from 2 species
UGGGGAAUAUUGGACAAUGGGCGGAAGCCUGAUCCAGCAACGCCGCGUGAGGGAUGACUGCCUUCGGGUUGUAAACCUCUUUCAGUACCGACGAAGCGAAAGUGACGGUAGGUACAGAAGAAGCACCGGCCAACUACGUGCCAGCAGCCGCGGUAAUACGUAGGGUGCGAGCGUUGUCCGGAAUUAUUGGGCGUAAAGGGCUCGUAGGCGGUUUGUCGCGUCGGGAGUGAAAACUCAGGGCUUAACUCUGAGCUGGCUUCCGAUACGGGCAGACUAGAGGUAUGCAGGGGAGAACGGAAUUCCUGGUGUAGCGGUGAAAUGCGCAGAUAUCAGGAGGAACACCGGUGGCGAAGGCGGUUCUCUGGGCAUUACCUGACGCUGAGGAGCGAAAGUGUGGGGAGCGAACAGG